rnacentral:misc_RNA from 1 species
GAUGAAGAACGUAGCGAAAUGCGAUAAGUAAUGUGAAUUGCAGAAUUCAGUGAAUCAUCGAAUCUUUGAACGCACCUUGCGCUCUUUGGUAUUCCGAAGAGCAUGCCUGUUUGAGUGUCAUGAAAAUAUCAACCUUGACUUGGGUUUUGUGCUCUAGUCUCGGCUUGGAAUUGGGUGCUUGCCGCUUUAACGAGCGGCUCACCUUAAAUGUAUUAGCUGGAUCUGUCUUUGAGACUUGGUUUGACUUGGCGUAAUAAGUAUUUCGCUAAGGACAUUCUUCGGAGUGGCCUCGUUUCUAGGACGCUUGUCCGCUUUCCAAUACAAGUUCCACCUCGUGGACAUGACUUUUUAUUAUCUGGCCUCAAAUCAGGUAGGACUACCCGCUGAACUUAAGCAUAUCAAUAAGCGGAGGA